AUCACCUGAGAAGGCAGUCUCAGUGAGGAGCUGUCACCGUUGGGUUUGUCUGUGCGCAUGUCUGUGAGGGGCUGAUUUUCUUAACUGAGUUGACUGAUGGGGGAAGAUCCAGCCUGCUGUGAGCAGGCACUCCUAAAUUGUGUAAGAAUGAAGAAAUCAAGUUAAGUGUGAUCAAACCAUCAAGUGAACCUUCAUUGCUCCCUGCUCUUGACUGUGGGACUGAUGUGACUUGCCAUUUUAAAUCUACAUGCCUUGUCUUCUCUGUAAGCAUGGACUGUGAUCUGGAACUAUAAGGUCAGUCCAUCCAUACACCUGCCCACUCAUAGAAAGUGUGGUCACCAAGAAGAGCUGCCUACCUGGAACUGUUCUGAGCAUGGCAUCCACCUGCAGCUUUGACAAAGCUAUGUCUCAUCUUGAAAAGCAGACAGCAAGCAAGCAGCUGUGGAAUAAGACAUGGGUGAUUGAGGUAUUCACCCAGCCCAGGGGUAUAUAGAAGAACCAGAGUAAAGUCAUUGUGAUAGCCUUGGA